AUGGAGGCAAAUGGGAGCCAAGGCACCUCGGGCAGCGCCAGCGACUCCCAGCACGACCCCGGUAAAAUGUUUAUGGGCGGACUGAGCUGGCAGACCUCACCAGAUAGCCUUAGAGACUAUUUUAGCAAAUUUGGAGAAAUUAGAGAAUGUCUGGUCAUGAGAGAUCCCACUACGAAACGCUCCAGAGACCCAGCAAGUGUAGAUAAAGUAUUAGGUCAGCCCCACCAUGAGUUAGAUUCCAAGACGAUGGACCCCAAAGUUGCAUUUCCUCGUCGAGCGCAACCCAAGAUGGUCACGAGAACAAAGCAACUAUUUGUAGGCGGAUUCUCUGCGAACACAGUAGUGGGAGAUGUAAAGCAAUAUUUCGAGCAGUUUGGCAAGGUGGAGGAUGCGAUGCUGAUGUUUGAUAAAACUACCAACAGGCACAGAGGGUUUGGCUUUGUCACUUUUGAGAAUGAAGAUGUUGUGGAGAAAGGCUGUGAGAUUCAUUUCCAUGAAAUCAGUAAUAAAGUGGUAGAAUGUAAGAAAGCUCAGCCGAAAGAAGUCACGUUCCCACCUGGGACGAGAGGCCGGGCCGGGGGCUGCCUUGCACCACGGAUGCGUUCGUGCUGGGCAUGGGGAUGCUGGGCUACCCCAACUUUGUGGCAACCUAUGGCCGAGGCUACCCCGGAUUUGCUCCUAGCUAUGGCUGUCAGUUCCCAGGCUGCCCAGCAGCGGCGUACGGACCAGUGGUGGCAGCGGCGGUGGCGGUGGCGGUGGCGGCGGCGAGAGGAUCAGGCUCCCACCCGGCGGCGCGGCCCGGAGGCUUCCCGGGGGCCAACAGCCCAGGACCUGUCGCCGAUCUCUAUGGCCCUGCCAGCCGGGACUCCGGAGUGGGGAAUUACAUAAGUGCGGCCAGCCCACAGCCGGGCUCGGGCUUCGGCCGUGGCAUAGCUGGACCUUUGAUGGCCACGGCCUUUACAAAUGGAUACCACUGAGCAGGUGCUUUCGUUGCCAUCUCACUCUGAGAGCAUACCUGGAUGUCCAGGCAAGACUGGGCGAGGUUUCUGAGUGGCCCUUUGUUUAGGUGAUGUCCUCAGACCUGGACCCCCACCAGCCUC